rnacentral:rRNA from 1 species
GGCCCGAUCUCCCAACCCUUUGCUUAUUAUACCUUGUGUUGCUUCGGUAGGUCUGGCUCGUCCUACCGGAGGACCGUAAAACGUCCUCUGGAGAGUGCCUACCGAUAGCCCAAACCAGAAACUCUUGAACAAAACAUGUCUUGUCUGAGUAAACAAAAAAAUUAAAGCAAAACUUUCAACAACGGAUCUCUUGGUUCUGGCAUCGAUGAAGAACGCAGCGAAAUGCGAUAAGUAAUGCGAAUUGCAGAAUUCCAGUGAGUCAUCGAAUCUUUGAACGCACAUUGCGCCCUUUGGUAUUCCGAAGGGCAUGCCUGUUCGAGCGUCAUUUUCACCCCUCAAGCCCCCGGCUUGGUGUUGGACGGUUUGGUUUAGGUACCCCUAGACCCCUCCUAAAGACAAUGACGGCGGCUGUUGAACCCCCGGUACACUGAGCUUCUUAACUGAGCACGUAUCGGAUCUAGGGUUUAGCGGCACCCGGUCUAUACCUUUUUUGCUUACAAGGUUGACCUCGGAUCAGGUAGGAAUACCCGCUGAACUUAAGCAUAUCAAUAAGCGGAGGAAAAGAAACCAACAGGGAUUGCCUCAGUAACGGCGAGUGAAGCGGCAACAGCUCAAAUUUGAAAUCUGGCCUCUUUGGGGUCCGAGUUGUAAUUUGUAGAGGAUGUUUCGGGUACCGCCUCGGUCUAAAUUUCUUGGAACAGAAUGUCAAAGAGGGUGAGAAUCCCGUCUUGGACCGGCGGUAGGGCCCAUGUGAAACUCCUUCGACGAGUCGAGUUGUUUGGGAAUGCAGCUCAAAAUGGGUGGUAAAUUUCAUCUAAAGCUAAAUAUUGGCCAGAGACCGAUAGCGCACAAGUAGAGUGAUCGAAAGAUGAAAAGCACUUUGAAAAGAGAGUUAAACAGUAUGUGAAAUUGUUGAAAGGGAAGCGCUUGCAACCAGACUUGAGCGCGGCGGUUCCCCCUUCCUUUUGGUUGGGUUACUCCGUCGUGUCCAGGCCAACAUCGGUUCUGGGGGUCGGUUAAAGGCUCGAGGAAUGUAUCUACUCCUUCGGGGGUAGACUUAUAGCCUCGGGUGUCAUGCGA